UACGUAGGGGGCAAGCGUUGUCCGGAAUCAUUGGGCGUAAAGCGCGCGUAGGCGGCCCGGUAAGUCCGUUGUGAAAGUCAAAGGCUCAACCUUUGAACGCCGAUGGAUACUGCCGGGCUAGAGUCCGGAAGAGGCGAGUGGAAUUCCUGGUGUAGCGGUGGAAUGCGCAGAUAUCAGGAGGAACACCAAUAGCGAAGGCAGCUCGCUGGGACGGUACUGACGCUGAGGCGCGAAAGUGUGGGGAGCAAACAGG
rnacentral:rRNA from 1 species